CAAAAUAGAAAGUCUGGUGAUAAACCAUAGAAAUGAUAAUACCAAAAUCCUGCCAGCAUUUAGCUCUCUGCCAAUAUAGAAUUAACUAUUGAAAUGACAAAGACACACCUUCACACAAUGUGAAGAAAAGGUUAUCCCAACAGCCACCACCAUAGCCUGGGUCCCAGCAACAGACAUGUAGAUUCGUUUGUCUCAGAAGGAGCUUCAUGCUCUGAGCAUGAAAGAGGAGAUGGCAUGUGUGUCCUGGGAAGGAUGUGGCCCCAUGGUGAGAGGCUGGGUAGCCAUGAGCUCCACUGUCUGCUGGGGAAGGUCCAGGAAGACACAGUGCAAAUGUGGAUGGAGCUGUGGUCCAGGCUUGCUCACUAUCCUGUGUGAGAGGCUUCAGGAACUCUUCUGCUGUCUGUUGCAUUUGUCUGUGGAAGACUCUUGAAGGGAGCGGAGUGCACAGGGACCCCUGAUAGCACAGGUCCCAGAAUGGGCAGUCGUAGUUUAUCAGGUACCUGGGGGAAGAGCUUAAUCUGUGGAAACAAAGGUUAGGAAAUGGGCUCCAUCUCUACCUCCUUAGCCAGCACUGUUCAUGUCUCCAAGACAUCAUUUGAUGAGUAUUAGUGUUGUGUCCUGAUGUGGCUUCUGAAACAUAGGCCUGGUGGGUCUGCCUGUUCUUGGAGCACUGGGCCAGUGCUGAGUACUGUUAAAGUCUUGUUAUCUCAAUGCUAAUAUUAGUAAAAAGAUUUUAUCUUAAGUGCUUCUUAUCUUUAUUUUCUUGUAUAGGUCCAAGAAUACUGGUGUGGGAAAUGACUAGUUUCACUCACCAGUCGCCAGCUUUGGGACAUUUCCAGGGGACCUGACUGGCUGAGAAUGGGAUGUCGACCAGCUCUUAUGGGAGCACCAGCCACCUGGACACUCACAGACACUUGAUGGAGCUCCAUAAGAUCAAACCCCUUAUUCCAGAGCUGUGAGGUUGUUAUUGCUGCUGUAUUCAAAACAAUAAGGAAAGCAAAUUGGGCGUACUGGCUGGUGUUGUGUGUCAACCUGACACAAGCUGGAGCUAUCACAGAGAAAGGAGCUUCAGGCGAUCUCAGUUUGUGCAUCAGGUUGGCAUAAGACUGGCCAGCACAGGAACUCGGAGAUGAAGUUUAGAAGCCAGAGUGGUGAGAACGAGGGAGGAACAGACUCUCUGAGACAGGAUGUGAGAAGGCUACCUACGAGCCAACUGAAAAGACACCACUGAAGACAAAGCAUCUAGCCCCAGGGGACCCAGCCUCACAGACUGCCUCAAUUGCUGUUUCCUCAAAAAUUGUAUCCAGGACAGUUUCAAAGUGUCCAGCCUCAUACAAUGUCUCUGCCAGGACUUCAGUUACAUCCCACACUUUCCUAUCCCACAGAGCCUGAACAGCAAAGGAGACAGCCAAGUCUCCCAAGACUUGUCCAAUAUCACGGUUUUCUAGGAUCCCCCCCACCUCAAAAAAAAAAAACUGUCGCCCCAGACUUCAGGAAGCAAUUUUAAGAACAUAACACCCUCAUUCCCAAGAGGUGGUUAGUGGGUUUCGGUCAUUCAGUGGGUUAUGGAUGUGUGUAGUCAUUUAGUGGGAUUGGUUUCAAGUUGUUACUCGUCAUUAUCAAGGAGGAAACAAAGGAAACCAGGGACGUCUUUCUAUCUCCCCCAUCCUUCUUCCCCUCCCACUAGUGUUAGGGGGGGAAGAUGAGUAAAUCAGGACAUAAGGGGAUGAAAAAGAACAAAGAAAGGCAUGUUAUUGUACCUCCUUUUAGACGAGUAAAGCAAAAGCCCUCAAACACUUUAGAUUGAUGGGGAUUUUUGUAUGAUGAUAAAAACUUAAUGCUAUAUUCGCUAUACCAUACAUUGUAUAUGAUUCAACUCUUGUGUAAGUUAUAUGUGAGUAUGCAACUCAUUUGAAAAUGUAAAGUUCUAGUUUUAUGAAAACUACUAUUGUAAAACUGUUAAUGAUAAUUAAGAAAUGGAAGUUAAUAACCAUCUAUAAAUAAUCAAGCUUAUAGUCAUGUUGGGGACUAAUUUACUUAGUUACAGAAAUAAGCCUUAUUUAACUUCCUGUAUGUUUUCUUUUUUUCUUUUUCUUUUUCCCCCGAGACAGGGUUUCUCUUUGUAGCCCUGGCUGU